rnacentral:rRNA from 1 species
AAUUGGAGGGCAAGUCUGGUGCCAGCAGCCGCGGUAAUUCCAGCUCCAAUAGCGUAUAUUAAAGUUGUUGCAGUUAAAAAGCUCGUAGUUGAAUUUCGGGAUUGACGUGAUGGUCAUGCCUUAAGGGGUAUGAACUGUUGCAGUUGAUUUCUCACCUUCUGGAGAAACUUGAUGUCCUUUAUUGGGUGUCUUGCGGAACCAGGACCUUUACCUUGAAAAAAUUAGAGUGUUUAAAGCAGGCAUUUUUGCUCGAAUACAUUAGCAUGGAAUAAUAGAAUAGGACGGCAUGGUUCUAUUUUGUUGGUUUCUAGGAUCACCGUAAUGAUUAAUAGGGAUAGUUGGGGGCAUUAGUAUUCAAUUGUCAGAGGUGAAAUUCUUGGAUUUAUUGAAGACUAACUACUGCGAAAGCAUUUGCCAAGGAUGUUUUCAUUAAUCAAGAACGAAAGUUAGGGGAUCGAAGACGAUCAGAUACCGUCGUAGUCUUAACCAUAAACUAUGCCGACUAGGAAUCAGACGAUGUUAAUUUUUUAAUGACUCGUUUGGCACCUUACGGGAAACCAAAGUGU